GGGUCAUUAGCUCAGUUGGCAGAGCACCUGACUCUUAAUCAGGGGGUCGCAGGUUCGAACCCUGCAUGACCUA
rnacentral:tRNA from 1 species